rnacentral:rRNA from 1 species
UGUCUUCGAGUCGUUGAUUUCACACUGCCGAGAAAAGCCUCUAGAUAGAAAAUAGGUGCCCGUACCGCAAACCGACACAGGUAGUCAAGAUGAGAAUUCUAAGGUGAGCGAGCGAACUCUCGUUAAGGAACUCGGCAAAAUGACCCCGUAACUUCGGGAGAAGGGGUGCUCUUUAGGGUUAACGCCCAGAAGAGCCGCAGUGAAUAGGCCCAAGCGACUGUUUAUCAAAAACACAGGUCUCUGCUAAACCGUAAGGUGAUGUAUAGGGGCUGACGCCUGCCCGGUGCUGGAAGGUUAAGAGGAGUGGUUAGCUUCUGCGAAGCUACGAAUCGAAGCCCCAGUAAACGGCGGCCGUAACUAUAACGGUCCU